AGGUUCUAGGAGCAGCUCUGGUGCUGAACAAGAGGAUCAGUGAUGAUGUCCAGGGUUCUCUGUUCACAGACCAGGAUGAGAAGGUCCUGGCCUGUCACAUGGGUCUGCUCGGGCUGGUCCUGGACAAUGUUCAGCUGUUUGAGAGUUCCAGACAGGAAGCCAACCGAUGCCAGGUGUUGUUGACCCUGGCCAGGCUGCUGUCAGAGGAACAGAAGUCGAUGGAGAAUCUCCUGGGCAAGAUGGCCGCCACCAUCCUGCCUUUCGCACGGGCUCAGUACUGUACCAUUUUCAUCGCCAGGGACAGACCCAAG